CCGAGGAUAAAGACAAAAUAAAUCGAGGGAAACAGAGCAUGCCUCACACAUCUGGUACAAAAAGUUUUGCAAGAAGAUUUUAUGAUGAGACUAUAAAUAAUGAUGGGGUAGAACCAUCACGACUAGACAUGUUUUACAAGUUACAUCAAAGAAGAGAUGGGACAUUUGUUGAUGCUGCUGCAGAAGAAAGAGUUGCCCAAAUGAAUACUUUGUCAUCCCAACUACCAGAGGAUUCCCAAAGUUCUAGUAUGGUAAGGGAUAAAAUAUUCUCCCAAGUCAUGGGAG